GUUUGUGAUUCUUUGGUCUGUUUGGAUGCCCCUUCCACCACCUAGAAGGGGUGGCUUUCUGCAGAGCCUCAUUUGCUUCAGUGAGCUCCGUGUGAGAAAGCAUGGCCAGGGCUAAGCGGUGAUGGAGCAAGUAGGGUGACAUGAUUGACACAAUGGAGCAAUGUCCCCUUGUCACAUGAGAAGACUGGUAUAACUAACCCUAGGGUGGUGAAGGAGGAUGCAAAUGCAAGCCUUGAUGUCUUCAAAGCUCCCAGAGUCCUUCCAGGGUCCUGCUGGAGAACUCCAUCUCUUGUACACCAAAGGUUGGCUGUGCAGUGCUGCCUCUCCCAGAGGUGAAAAGACCAAUUAAAUGCUGCUUGCUGCUGCUUGAAUCUCCAGUCCUUGGCAUAAAGCACAGGCUCAUGUGACAGUCAUUGGAGGACACAAUAGUAAAAAUGGAGUGGAGCGAGGAGGGCUAACAAAGCAUUAAAGGAGCCUACAGACUGUCUCCUUGCCCCUCCGCCCCUUCCCCAGUUAGCUGCUGGAAAAUAUUUCUUCAGAUUUGCUGUGUACCUUUGUUGCAAAACCUGACUGCACGUCUGUGGGUUCGUAGAUUAUCUGCACCGUGACAGCCAGACUAUGAAACCUUUGCUUGUGACUGCAGGUCUGGCAGUCUGCUGGCUUCAGUGGGGCUGCUGCCACGGGAUGCUGUUUUUCAGCAAUUUCAAGAGACUGAUUCUCACUGGCACAAUUCCAUGGAAGUCAGAUUUCUAAGCUGCAUGUAUCAUUGUUGUUGCUGGUUGUGCCUAUGGUGUCUGUGGUUGUACAGACUUAAUAGAAAGUGCUUCAUUCCUCACCUCCCAGUAUUCCAUCUACACGAGAGCACUGAUGGCAGAAAUCUUCUUGUGCUCCCCCAGGCUGGAAAAAAGUGUCAAUUGCACUAGAUCAUGGAGGGACAACUUGCUCUGGAAAAUAUGAGUAUGAAUGUAGUAAACCUUUUUGGUUUGAAUCAUUCAAAUGUCUAUAAGAACAUGUAUUUCUUCAAUGCUAAUACUCAGAAAGCGUUAAAUUAUAAAUAUAUGCUGCCUCUUCAAAGCACAAAACCUGUUUGUAAUCUCUAACAAUAAUCACAAUGGAAAAUGGAUAAGAAGACAUACCAUCUAAUUAGAAAUCAAAAGUGGCAAAUGGCAUAUAUUAUCCUAUUUACAAGACUGCACUAUAGAGGUGAACAAAUGUGUUCUCUAAGAACACUGAGAUGGUUAAAGGCCGGAAGCAUCUGACAUACAAGGAGAGGCUAAGACAGCUGGGACUGUUCAGCCUUCAGAAGGGAAAGCUCAGGGGGAUAUUUUCACCUGUAUAAACACCUGAUGGAGGGCAAGUAAAGAGGAUGAAGUCUGACUCCUCGCAGUGGUGCCCAAUGAGAGAGAGGACAAGAGGC